rnacentral:rRNA from 1 species
AACGAACGCUGGCGGCAUGCCUAACACAUGCAAGUCGAACGAGACCUUCGUGUCUAGUGGCGCACGUGUGCGUAACGCGUGGGAACCUGCCUUUAGGUUCGCAACAACUCAGUGAAAUUUGAGCUAAUACCGGAUGAUGUCUUCGGACCAAAGAUUUCUCGCCUUUAGAUGGGCCCGCGUUGGAUUCGCCGGUUGGUGGGGUAAAGGCCUACCAAGGCGACGAUCCAUAGCUGGUCUGAGAGGAUGAUCAGCCACACUGGAACUGAGACACGGACCAGAAUCGUACGGGAGGCAGCAGUGGGGAAUAUUGGACAAUGGGCGAAAGCCUGAUCAAGCAAUGCCGCGUGAGUGAUGAAGGCCUUAGGGUUGUAAAGCUCUUUUAGCCGAGAUGAUAAUGACAGUAACGGGAGAAUAAGCACCGGCUAACUACGUG